GCUGGGCAUGGUGGCCCAUGCCUGUAAUCCCAGCUACUUGGGAAGCUGAGGCGGGAGAAUCACUCGAACCCAGGAGGGAGAGAUUGCAGUGAGCUGAGAUCACACCACUGCACUCCAGCCUGGGUGAUAGAAUGAGACUCUGUCUCAA
ensembl:misc_RNA Metazoa_SRP Metazoan signal recognition particle RNA